AAUAUUGGACAAUGGGGGCAACCCUGAUCCAGCCAUGCCGCGUGUGUGAAGACGGUCUUCGGAUUGUAAAGCACUUUAAGUUGGGAGGAAGGGCUUUAGGCUAAUACCCAGAAGGUCUGACGUUACCAACAGAAUACGCACCGGCUAACUCUGUGCCCGCAGCCGCGGUAAUACAGAGGGUGCAAGCGUUAAUCGGAAUUACUGGGCGUAAAGCGCGCGGAGGUGGUUCAGUAAGAUGGGUGAGAAAUCCCCGGGCUUAACCUGGGAACUGCUUUCAUAACUGCUGAGCUAGAGUACGGUAGAGGGUAGUGGAAUUUCCUGUGUAGCGGUGAAAUGCGUAGAUAUAAGAAGGAACACCAGUGGCGAAGGCGACUACCUGGACUGAUACUGACACUGAGGUGCGAAAGCGUGGGGAGCAAGC
rnacentral:rRNA from 1 species